rnacentral:rRNA from 1 species
GACAGAGGGUGCUAGCGUUGUUCGGAAUUACUGGGCGUAAAGGGCGCGCAGGCGGUCCUUUAAGUCUGAUGUGAAAGCCCACGGCUCAACCGUGGAGGGUCAUUGGAAACUGGGGGACUUGAGUACAGAAGAGAAGAGUGGAAUUCCACGUGUAGCGGUGAAAUGCGUAGAGAUGUGGAGGAACACCAGUGGCGAAGGCGACUCUUUGGUCUGUAACUGACGCUGAGGCGCGAAAGCGUGGGGAGCAAACAGG